UCGCCCUUGUGAAAUUGUUGAAAGGGAAGCGCUUGCAGCCAGACUUGCUUACAGUUGCUCAUCCGGGCUUUUGCCCGGUGCACUCUUCUGUAGGCAGGCCAGCAUCAGUUUGGGCGGUAGGAUAAAGGUCUCUGUCACGUACCUCUCUUCGGGGAGGCCUUAUAGGGGAGACGACAUACUACCAGCCUGGACUGAGGUCCGCGCAUCUGCUAGGAUGCUGGCGUAAUGGCUGUAAGCGGCCCGUCUUGAAACACGGACCAAGGAGUCUAACAUCUAUGCGAGUGUUUGGGUGUCAAGCCCGAGCGCGUAAUGAAAGUGAACGGAGGUAGGAACCCGCAAGGGUGCACUAUCGACCGAUCCUGAUGUCUUCGGAAGGAUUUGAGUAAGAGCAUGGCUGUUGGGACCCGAAAGAUGGUGAACUAUGCUUGAAUAGGGUGAAGCCAGAGGAAACUCUGGUGGAGGCUCGCAGCGGUUCUGACGUGCAAAUCGAUCGUCAAAUUUGGGCAUAGGGGCGAAAGACUAAUCGAACUAUCUAGUAGCUGGUUCCUGCCGAAGUUUCCCUCAGGAUAGCAGUAACGUAUUCAGUUUUAUGAGGUAAAGCGAAUGAUUAGAGGCCUGGGGGUCGAAAUGACCUUCACCUAUUCUCAAACUUUAAAUAUGUAAGAAGUCCUUGUUACUUAAUUGAACGUGGACAGUUGAAUGAAACGUUAUUAGUGGGCCAUUUUUGGUAAGCAGAACUGGCGAUGCGGGAUGAACCGAACGAGGGGUUAAAGUGCCGGAAUACACGCUCAUCAGACACCACAAAAGGUGUUGGUUCAUCUAG
rnacentral:rRNA from 1 species